rnacentral:sRNA from 1 species
UGAAAGACGCGCAUUUAUCAUCAUCAUCCCUAUUAACAGAGAUGUUUAUUUGGCCACACUACGGUGUGGCCGUUUC